GAGACAGAAGUAAAGAGUUGUGUUUGGUGCUUGAAAGUGUUGUUAUAUCUGUAUUUGUGAUUGCAAAGAGGAAUGCCACAGAGGAAAAUAUGAUGGAAGAAAAACUAAAUAAACAAAGAAAAGAACGAAAGAGAGAAAGAAAUUAAGAAAGGAAAGAGGGAAAGCAAAACAAGAUGUUGAAGUGGCUGCUUCUGCUAGCUUGUUUGACGUCGGUCUUUGGAGGGAAGUUCCAAGUCGAGGGUGAGAAAAAUGUCGUGAAGUCGGCCGGUAGUGAGGAUCACCCGCAGGAGCUCGGUGACUCGCCCAACCUUGGCGAAAUUCUGAAGAAAUGUCGCAAAGAGAACCCAGACUCUUCCCCAGAGAUACUGAAGCGAUGC